GAUGAACGCUGGCGGCGUGCCUAAUACAUGCAAGUCGAGCGAACAGAUGAGGAGCUUGCUCCUCUGACGUUAGCGGCGGACGGGUGAGUAACACGUGGAUAACCUACCUAUAAGACUUGGAUAACUUCGGGAAACCGGAGCUAAUACCGGAUAAUAUAUUGAACCGCAUGGUUCAAUAGUGAAAGACGGUUUUGCUGUCACUUAUAGAUGGAUCCGCGCCGCAUUAGCUAGUUGGUAAGGUAACGGCUUACCAAGGCAACGAUGCGUAGCCGACCUGAGAGGAUGAUCGGCCACACUGGAACUGAGACACGGUCCAGACUCCUACGGGAGGCAGCAGUAGGGAAUCUUCCGCAAUGGGCGAAAGCCUGACGGAGCAACGCCGCGUGAGUGAUGAAGGUCUUCGGAUCGUAAAACUCUGUUAUUAGGGAAGAAAAAAUGUGUAAGUAACUAUGCACGUCUUGACGGUACCUAAUCAGAAAGCCACGGCUAACUACGUG
rnacentral:rRNA from 1 species